rnacentral:rRNA from 1 species
GACGAACGCUGGCGGCGUGCUUAACACAUGCAAGUCGAGCGGAAAGGCCCUUCGGGGUUCGGGUGCGGGGAACGGGAACGUGAGAGUAGAGUAAGAUGAACCUGCCCUUGAGAUAAGGAUAGGUAAAGGAGACUAAUACCAGUAACGAAACAGCGCUGCAGGUGCUCGGUGUGGGAAGUUUAGCGGUUGGGGAUGGGCUCGCGGCUUAUCAGCUUGUUGGUGGGGUGGUGGCAUACCAAGGCGACGACGGGUAGCCGGCCUGAGAGGGCGACCGGCCACACUGGGACUGAGACACGGCCCAGACUCCUACGGGAGGCAGCAGUGGGGAAUAUUGCACAAUGGGCGGAAGCCUGAUGCAGCAACGCCGCGUGCGGGAUGACGGCCUUCGGGUUGUAAACCUCUUUCGGCUGGGACGAAGCGUGAGUGACGGUACCUGGUGAAGAAGCGCCGGCUAACUACGUG